GCGACUUACUUGAGGUCGUGGUAGGAACGUGGGAAUCGAUUGCCCUACGAUAACGUUACUGUUUUCCGUUACGUAUUCCUUGAAGGAACGAUUGCUUCGAGAUUUCUUUUUACUAAGGAAUGCAAAGAGGUCAACAAGUCAGAAUGGAGAAUACAGAAGAAAAGAACCAAGCCCGGUCUGCAACCAUAGGCGCUGUAUUAAAGUUCGGUUUCCUGGUGUUACUUAUUCGAGCAACACCAUACGUGAUCAAACACCUGAGGGACUGAAGGAGAAUCGCCUUUGAUAUCACAAGAACGGGCUGGUUGAAGCCUACUCCGCAUAGCGACUGCUACGUGCCUCAUGCAGAACACCGCAGAGUAAAUACUCAAAAGAGCACCUAAAGUAGAUACUGUACCUUGAGGUUCUCACUGCAACAGCCGUCGUACAAAGGAAUAUGUGAAAUUCCUAUAAUAAACCACUUUCCCUGUGUAGACCACCAUUAAAGCCCAUCCCCAGCAUGCUUGAGACCACACUGGGCAAAUAAACGUUAAUUAGACCAACUA